rnacentral:lncRNA from 1 species
AGGGUAUCCAGGCCUUGCUUGACGAUGGUAUCCUCCAAGCUGAAGACUUAUCUGCCCAAAGGUCUGUUGAAGGGGUUGUUGAAGGGGUUGUUGAGAAUGAAGAUGUUGAUCCUCUCUUUCCUGAAGAUGCUGAAGAAUUUACAAAUGUUGUUCCUGCUGAUUUUGUAAUUCCCAAUGAUGUCAUUAAUUUUUCUGAUGCUGUUGCUGAUAUUCCAAACAUGGUGUUU